CCACAGGAUGUAGCUACUCCUGAACAGCAUAGGCUAAUGUUUUGUACUCAGAUUGUAGAGACUACUGGAUGAACUGACGGGAUGGGGGAAAUCAUGAUAUUAUCGUAUCCAAGAUGGCUGUGUACUCUAAAAUCGAGGAUGCUGGGUAUACAGCCUUUACCCUCUGACCCUGCCUCAACCUCCAAAGGCAUCUCCUGUAGCUGUUGCCGUUUUGGGCGGGUGCUCUUUCUGCGACUGUUGCCACCGAAGAAUCGUCUCCCUCGCUUCAUGUUUCUCUCGAAACAGACCGUGAAACAUCUUCCGUGACUGAGCAUGAUCUAUAUAGACAUUGAAGACGUGAAUGGUGACGUGGCCUAUGAAAUGGCAUUAGAAAUAUGACACAUUAAAUGUAAAUAAUUGUUUUCACCCCCCCAUCUCCCUUUCAUCACAGAACCUCACUGUUUUGUCAUUUGUUGCAGACAAAAUUAUACACAUGUAAGUGAGCAAUUUGAUAGUUUGCUAAUUGGAAUUCAUUCUCAGUUGCAGGGGUCAUGGGCUAAAAAGUGAUGAUGAUUUUGAUGAUUGUGAUGAUGAUAUGGAGACACUGUCCCAAUCAAUUAAAAUGAUAUUGAAGCGAUAUAACUAACUUUAAUGUGCAAGAUGCCCAA